CAAGAGAAAAUUGGUGGAUUUCAAGUAAUCAAGCAAUCAAAGGUGGUGAGUAUUCUGGCAAAAGUAAAGAGAUAGCACCUGAGGAUCAAGAAUUGGAGUACCUGAAAUUCGACUCUCGAAAUAGCUCAGGAUAGUCGGUAGAUAGCUCACUUUAUUGAGGGCUA